GGAGCGCGGAGUCUCGCCAUAUCAGGAGGGCCCUGUUACGUGAGGCUGUGCACGGAGACUAUUCCAGGAAGAAGAGGGGACACUUGGUGGGCGGGGUGAUUUCGGGCAGUCAGGUGGGCGACCCGCGUAGGCGUCUGAAAGGCCCGCGUCGUUAGGGAGGGCAGGAGUGGCGUCUCUGGUUACGGGGUCGGGCAAAGGGCAGAGGUCACCGUCCAGGUUGGACAGCAGCACCUUUGAGCGAUGGCGGCGUCUGGGGAACCCCGGCGGCAGUGGCAAGAGGAGGUGGUGGCGGUGGUAGUGGUGGGCUCCUGCAUGACCGACCUGGUCAGUCUUACUUCUCGUUUGCCAAAAACUGGAGAAACCAUCCAUGGACAUAAGUUUUUUAUUGGCUUUGGAGGGAAAGGUGCCAACCAGUGUGUCCAAGCUGCUCGGCUUGGAGCAAUGACGUCCAUGGUGUGUAAGGUUGGCAAAGAUUCUUUUGGCAAUGAUUAUAUAGAAAACCUAAAACAGAAUGAUAUUUCUACAGAAUUUACAUAUCAGACUAAAGAUGCUGCUACAGGAACUGCUUCUAUAAUUGUCAAUAAUGAAGGCCAGAAUAUCAUUGUCAUAGUGGCUGGAGCAAAUUUACUUUUGAAUACGGAGGAUCUAAGGGCAGCAGCCAAUGUCAUUAGCAGAGCCAAAGUCAUGGUCUGCCAGCUCGAAAUAACUCCAGCAACUUCUUUGGAAGCCCUAACAAUGGCCCGCAGGAGUGGAGUGAAAACCUUGUUCAAUCCAGCCCCUGCCAUUGCUGACCUGGAUCCCCGGUUCUACACCCUCUCAGAUGUGUUCUGCUGCAAUGAAAGUGAGGCUGAGAUUUUAACUGGCCUCACUGUGGGCAGCGCUGCAGAUGCUGGGGAGGCUGCAUUAGUGCUCUUGAAAAGGGGCUGCCAGGUGGUAAUCAUUACCUUAGGGGCUGAGGGAUGUGUGGUGCUGUCACAGACAGAACCUGAACCAAAGCACAUUCCCACAGAGAAAGUCAAGGCUGUGGAUACCACGUUCUAUGAGACAGGUAUUAUUUCCAUUUUACAGAAGAAGAAAUUUGUACAGGAUCACAUUGCUGAAGCGACUUUAAAAUGUGGGUCAUUAUGAAAAAAGAAGGCUGAGGGGAUCUGAUGAAGUUUUGGAUGUGACUAUACUUUGAAAAAUAUUCAAGUGCAAGAAAUGGUUAUGUGACAUGAAAUUAACAUCCUGGUUGCCUUUCAAAAUGUGCUUUACCAGGUUCUCACUCUGUUGCCUAGGCCGGAGUGCAGUGGCUCCAUCUUGGCUCACUGCAACCUCUGCCUCCCAGGGUCAGGUGAGCCUCCUGCCUCAGUCUCCCAAGUGUCUGGGACUACAGGGUGCUGGUGACAGCUUUGUGGGAGCUCUGGCCUUCUACCUGGCUUACUAUCCAGAUCUGUCCUUGGAAGACAUGCUCAAGAGAUCCAAUUUCAUUGCAGCAGUCAGU